rnacentral:lncRNA from 1 species
UCGGGUUUCAAUGGCAUUGGCAUAGGUGCAUUUUUCUUGUAUAUGAAUGACCUUCUCUCACUUUUAUUUGUCUUUUUGAGUGGUUUUUGACACAAGUGUCUUUUCGUUGUGUAGAAAGGGCAUUUCUCACUUCUCUUGGUCUUUUUUCUUGCCUUUUUUGGCACAGUUGCAUGUUUUCUUGCCUGGUUGGUCCAAAACCACGAUAUGUUCGCUAUAGAGUUAUUUUUCAUAUUUUAAAAUAAUUUAUCAGAUUAAG